rnacentral:piRNA from 1 species
UGAGGUAGUGAGAGAAUUCUUUUCCCUGAA